AGGAUAUCCCCCAACAGAUUGGUGGUGUAGACUGUGGAGUCUUCAUGUUGAUGUAUGCUCUACAUCUUGUCUUGGGAGCACCCUUUGAUUUUACAUCUUGCGACUUUCCAAACAUACGGAGAUGGUGGGCUCUUAUUCUUCUGGAGAACUUUGGGGUUUUCUCUGAAAGUGCAGGAACCCUACAAGAGUCCCUUCCAUGUGAAGAACAAGCUACGCUUAGCAGCAGUGAGGCGG